CCCUCCUUCUUUCCUUCUCAUUUUUACAGUUCUUUUUUGCAGACUUUCUUUGGGUUGAAUUGCUUCCUCGCCAAAUCUUGCAUGUGUUAAACCGUAAACUUCCAAAAGGCAAGAUUUGGUAAGAACCCUCCAUAACAUUUAGCAUAACACCCUAAAUAAAUAAUUAAUAAAAGCUUAUGGAGCACAGACUUAAAGAAUCAAUGCUUACUUAAGGCUUAUAAUGCUUGAUGCUUACUGGCCCCAGUCAGUGAGUUGGUUUUCUUUACAAUCCCUGGAGCUUCUCUCCAAAAUAUUUUACUGGUAUUUUUGCAAGAACGUACGGGGUUUCGAUUUGCCCAAUUUCUGCUUCGAAAACUUUUCCAUAACCCUUCUCUGCCUCAGAUACGGAAUUACAGGGUAAUGCUCUCUGUCAGUCAGCGUCGCUCUGCAGUCAUUCCACCGUAUGCCUGAUGGACUUCCAGCCCCAUGCGGGUCUAACUGCUGUAGGUGACUGUCCGGUUCUUUGUGAUUUGGGACUCGAGCCACAACACGUUUCCCGCACUCUUGUUUCGGGAGCGCACGCAGGACGAAAGGACAGGCGCCCCAGCCUUGGGAAUCCGCAUUACCAUGGAAACAGCCCCUGGUCCUACCCGUUUUCUGAGCUGACUGCUGAGGCUGCGUUUCCCACACUGGAGGGAGCCGGAGUCACGGACAAAUCCCGGGCUUCCCACUUCCUUCUGGCCGCUCUUUCUUCAGGUGCUCUACAAUACAAUUGAUUGUGAUUAGAGUACUUCAUCUAUUCGCUAUAACUGAUUAAGUUACCGCUUGAUUGUGUUACGGCUUCAUCCAUUUACUUUGAUUAGAUUGUUGCCGGAAAUAUAUGGAUACCAUCAA